rnacentral:rRNA from 1 species
CUUCGGAUCUAGUGGCGGACGGGUGAGUAACGCUGUGGGAACGUGCCCUUCACUACGGAAUAGUCCCGGGAAACUGGGUUUAAUACCGUAUACGCCCUUCGGGGGAAAGAAUUUCGGUGAAGGAUCGGCCCGCGUCUGAUUAGGUAGUUGGUGGGGUAAUGGCCUACCAAGCCGACGAUCAGUAGCUGGUUUUAGAGGAUGAUCAGCCACACUGGGACUGAGACACGGCCCAGACUCCUACGGGAGGCAGCAGUGGGGAAUCUUAGACAAUGGGGGCAACCCUGAUCUAGCCAUGCCGCGUGAGUGAAGAAGGUCCUAGGAUCGUAAAGCUCUUUCGCCAGGGAUGAUAAUGACAGUACCUGGUAAAGAAACCCCGGCUAACUCCGUGCCAGCAGCCGCGGUAAUACGGAGGGGGUUAGCGUUGUUCGGAAUUACUGGGCGUAAAGCGCGCGUAGGCGGAUCGGAAAGUUGGGGGUGAAAUCCCGGGGCUCAACCCCGGAACUGCCUCCAAAACUAUCGGUCUAGAGUUCGAGAGAGGUGAGUGGAACUCCGAGUGUAGAGGUGAAAUUCGUAGAUAUUCGGAAGAACACCAGUGGCGAAGGCGGCUCACUGGCUCGAUACUGACGCUGAGGUGCGAAAGUGUGGGUAGCAAACAGGAUUAGAUACCCUGGUAGUCCACACC